rnacentral:lncRNA from 10 species
CAGACCCUUUAUGGGUGUCGGGCUGGGGGACGGUCAGGUCUUUCCCUUCCUACGAGGCCAUAUUUCAGACUGUCACAUGGGGAGAAACCUUGGACAAUACCUGGCUUUCCUAGGCAGAGGUCCCUGCAGCCUUCCACAGUGUUUGUGUCCCUGGGUACUUGAGAUUAGGGAGUGGUGAUGACUCUUAACGAGUAUGCUGCCUUCAAGCAUUUGUUUAACAAAGCACAUCUUGCACCGCCCUUAAUCCAUUUAACCCUGAGUUUGACACAGCACACGUUUCAGAGAGCAGGGGGUUGGGGGUAAGGUCAUAGAUUAACAGAAUCUCAAGGCAGAAGAAUUUGUCUUAGUACAGAACAAAAUGGAGUCUCCUAUGUCUACUUCUUUCUACACAGACACAGUAACAAUCUGAUCUCUCUUGCUUUUCCCCACACUCUCACUCAGCAUAAUCAUGCUGAUAUUUAUCCAAGUCUAAAAUCCUUUGAUAUUCAUCCGUGAUACACAUCCAUGUUGCAUGUGUCAAAAGCCCAUUCCCCUGUACGGAUCUAACACAGCCUGUUUAUCCAUUCACAUGUGGAUGGAUUUCUGGAUCAUUUCCAGUUUUUGCUCAUACAAAUAAAGCCGCUGUGAACCUUUGUGUACAAA